AUUGAACGCUGGCGGCAGGCCUAACCCAUGCAAGUCGAACGAGAGGCGGACGGGUGAGUAAUGUAUGGGAAACUGCCUGAUGGAGGGGGAUCACUACUGGAAACGGUAGCUAAUACCGCAUACCAUCAGAUGUGCCCAUAUGGGAUUAGCUUGUGGUGGGGGUAACGGGUCACCAAGGCGACGAUCCCUAGCUGGUCUGAGAGGAUGACCAGCCACACUGGAACUGAGACGAGGUCCAGACUCCUACGAGAGGCAGCAGUGGGUAAUAUUGCACAAUGGGCGCAAGCCGUAUGCAGCCAUGCCGCGUGUAUGAAGAAGGCCUUCGGGUUGUAAAGUACUUUCAGCGGGGAGGCGUUACCCGCAGAAGAAGCACCGGCUAACUCCGUGCCAGCAGGCGCGGUAAUUC
rnacentral:rRNA from 1 species